rnacentral:rRNA from 1 species
UACAGAGGGUGCAAGCGUUAUUCGGAAUUAUUGGGCGUAAAGAGCUCGUAGGCGGUCUGUCGCGUCGAAUGUGAAAAACCCCGGGGGCCCCAACCCCCGGGCCUGCAUUCGAUACGGGCAGACUAGAGUUCGGUAGGGGAGUCUGGAAUUCCUGGUGUAGCGGUGAAAUGCGCAGAUAUCAGGAGGAACACCGGUGGCGAAGGCGGGACUCUGGGCCGAUACUGACGCUGAGGAGCGAAAGCGUGGGGAGCAAACAGG